GUAUGGAUGCAGUAUACAACAAGGAGAGAGAGAGCGAGAGAGAGAGAGAGAGAGGUAUGGAUGUGGUAUACAACAAGGAGAGAGAGAGAGAGAGAGAGAGAUAUGGAUGUGGUAUACAACAGGGAGAGAGAGAGAGAGAGAGAGAGAGAGAGGUAUGGAUGUGGUAUACAACAGGGAGAGAGAGAGAGAGAGAGAGAGAGAGAGAGGUAUGGAUGUGGUAUACAACAGGGAGAGAGAGAGAGAGAGAGAGGUAUGGAUGUGGUAUACAACAGGGAGAGAGAGAGAGAGAGAGAGAGAGAGGUAUGGAUGUGGUAUACAACAGGGAGAGAGAGAGAGAGAGAGGUAUGGAUGCAGUGUACAACAAGGAGAGAGAGAGAGGGGGGGGUAUUGAUGCAGGGGUACAUCACAAGACAGAAACACUGUCGGGUGUGUGUGUGUGUGUGUGUUGGGGGAUACAUGCAAAUCAUCCAUAUAGAAGUGCAGAGAUGCAUUUGACUCGAGGGGAUGGUUCCUGUAUCUGUGUUGCAAGAAAUAUUUAACAGCAAACAGCACUGUUCUCAUUCCAGAGUCAUUGGGAGAAUGUGUCUCUGCUGCCACACACACACACACACACACACACACAGACACACACACACAGACACACACACACACACACACACACACGAAGGUGGCCUAGGAACAGUUUAAGAGUGGUUUAUGACUUCCUGUCUCUGUCACCGCAACUGCCCACCCUCCUUCUCUCUAGUCUGAACACAUACCUGUUUAGUUUCAUCUACUGUUUCGUUUCCAUUUAGUUUCCAUCUGCUGUUUAGUUUCCGGUUAGUUUCCAUUUAGUGUGACCUACAGGCUGCUGUGUUCUUGGGGACCUUCAAUGCUGCAGACAUCUUUUGGUGUCCUUCCCCAGAUCUGUGCAUCGACACAAUCCUGUCUCUGAGCUCUACAGACAAUUCCUUUGACCUCAUGGCUUGGUUUUUGCUCUGUCAACUGUGGGACCUUUUAUAGACAGGUGUGUGUGCCUUUCCAAAUCAUGUCCAAUCAAUUGAAUUUUCCACAGGUGGACUCCAAUCAAGUUGUAGAAACAUCUCAAGGAUGAUCAAUGGAAACAGGAUGCACCUGAGCUCAAUUUCAAGUCUCAUAUUAAAGGGUCUGAAUACGUAUGAAAAUAAGAAUUUUAUUUUUACAUAAAAAAAAUAUAUUUAUAUUUUUCCACAUUUUAUUACGUUACAGCCUUUUUCUAAAAUGUAUUAAAUGAUGUUUUCCCUCAUCAAUCUGCACACAGUACCCCAUAAUGACAUAGCGAAAAUGUUUGCUAAUAUUAAAAAUAUAACAUUUGCAUUAGUAUUCAGACUCAGUACUUUAUUGAAGCACCUUUGGAAGUGAUUACAGCCUAGAGUAUUCUUGGGUAUGAAGCUACAAGCUUGGCACACCUGUAUUUUGGGAGUUAACUCCAUUCUGCUCUGCAGAUCCUCCCAAGCUCUGUCAGGUUGGAUGGGGAGC
ensembl:lncRNA